rnacentral:rRNA from 1 species
AGCGAACGCUGGCGGCAGGCCUAACACAUGCAAGUCGAACGAACUCUUCGGAGUUAGUGGCGGACGGGUGAGUAACACGUGGGAACGUGCCUUUUGGUUCGGAAUAACUCAGGGAAACUUGUGCUAAUACCGAAUGUGCCCUUCGGGGGAAAGAUUUAUCGCCAUUAGAGCGGCCCGCGUCUGAUUAGCUAGUUGGUGAGGUAACGGCUCACCAAGGCGACGAUCAGUAGCUGGUCUGAGAGGAUGACCAGCCACACUGGGACUGAGACACGGCCCAGACUCCUACGCGAGGCGGCAGUGGGGGACCUUGCGCAGUGGGCUGAAGCAUGACGGAGCCAUGCCGCGUGAAUGAUGAAGGUCUUAGGAUUGUAAAAUUCUUUUACCGGGGACGAUAAUGACGGUACCCGGAGAAGAAGCCACGGCUAACUUCGUG